rnacentral:sRNA from 2 species
ACCUACCACUGCUAAUCUAUGCCGCUGCCAACCUACCUAUCGCUGCUAAUCUAUCGCUGCUGCCAACCUACCUACCGCUGCCAACCUACCUAUCGCUGCCAACCUACCUACCACUGCUAAUCUAUCGCUGCUAAUCUAUCGCUGCUAAUCUAUUGCUGCUAAUCUAUCGCUGCUAAUCUAUCGCUGCUAAUCUAUCACUGCUAAUCUAUCGCUGCUGCCAAUCUACCUACCACUGCCAACCUAUCUACUGCUGCUAAUCUAUCGCUGCUGCCAACCUACCUACCACUGCCAACCUACCUACCACUGCUAAUCUAUCGCUGCUAAUCUAUUGCUGCUAAUCUAUCGCUGCUAAUCUAUUGCUGCUAAUCUAUCUAUCACUGCUAAUCUAUUGCUGCCAACCUACCUACCGCUGCCAACCUACCUACUGCUGCUAAUCUAUCGCUGCUAAUCUAUCGCUGCUAAUCUAUCGCUGCUAAUCUAUCGCUGCUAAUCUAUCGCUGCUAAUCUAUCGCUGCUAAUCUAUCGCUGCUAAUCUAUCGCUGCUAAUCUAUCGCUGCUAAUCUAUCGCUGCUAAUCUAUCGCUGCCAACCUACCUACCGCUGCUAAUCUAUCACUACUGCCAACCUAUAUAGGGUAAAUCAUGGUCCCAUUUGGUCCCAUUUUGUAAAAAUGGGACCAAAUGGGACUAGGAUCACUAAUUUAUUAGUAGAACAUGAUCUGGGACUAGAUUUAUAAUAUAAACAGUGUAAAGUGACUAAUUUACUAAACACUAUAUGGGACCAGGACUAAGAUAUCUAAUAAUGGGACCAAAGGAAAAUCUGGUCCCAGUCCCAUGCAUGGUCACACGGCCAGUCUAGUUAUAAACUUUGCAGAUAGCUUAGCAAAUAUCAAAAAUAAAUAAAACACUC